rnacentral:rRNA from 1 species
UACGUAGGGUGCAAGCGUUAAUCGGAAUUACUGGGCGUAAAGCGUGCGCAGGCGGUUUUGUAAGCCAGAUGUGAAAUCCCCGGGCUUAACCUGGGAAUGGCAUUUGGGACUGCAAGGCUGGAGUACGGCAGAGGAGACUGGAAUUCCUGGUGUAGCAGUGAAAUGCGUAGAUAUCAGGAGGAAUACCGAUGGCGAAGGCAGGUCGCUGGGCUGAUACUGACGCUCAUGCACGAAAGCGUGGGGAGCAAACAGG